CCCCUCUCAAGGACACACCUGGAGUUUCCAGAACUCUACCAGUCUUGAAUACAUGAGGGAGAGUCAAGCAGAGGCCUACCCAUUCCAUUCCUAGCUUGGCCAGUGGCUAGCAAGUGGAAGACAAUCUGCUACAAGU